CAGCAGCCGCGGUAAUGCGAAGGGUGCAAGCGUUAAUCGGAAUUACUGGGCGUAAAGCGUGCGCAGGCGGUUUGUUAAGACAGAUGUGAAAUCCCCGGGCUCAACCUGGGAACUGCAUUUGUGACUGGCAAGCUAGAGUGUGGCAGAGGGGGGUGGAAUUCCGCGUGUAGCAGUGAAAUGCGUAGAGAUCUGGAGGAAUACCGGUGGCGAAGGCGGCCCUCUGGACAAAGACUGACGCUCAGGUGCGAAAGCGUGGGGAGCAAACAGGAUUAGAUACCCCAGUAGUCCCUGUCUCUUAUAC
rnacentral:rRNA from 1 species